UAACGCUAGCCGAUGUAAUUUCUGGGAUCGACGUAUUAUUCACGAUUUUCGCUUCAAUAUUACAUCAAAAUGAUGUUCACAACGAGAACAGGUCAUGUAGUGUAAUAUCAAAAACUUCUAUGUAAUAUUGCAUCAAGUAGUCAAUGGUAUUUUCAACUGACGUUCAAAAUUUUAUCAAUAUCAAAAACUGUGAAACGGAUUGCGGGGCUCAGGAGGAUUUGUUCUGCUGGCUAUUGGUCCAAAUCGCUAAUCCCAAACAGAUUCGAAGAAAUUAUCAGUUUUGAUUUGCAAACACACGGAAUCGAUCAUCCAAAGGACACGAAUAGGAAUCAAAUGGAGCCUCUAGAGUAUAUAUUUUCUGAUGUGUGAAACGCUGACCAAAACGUUAUUCAUUCUUCCAUUGUCGUGCAUGAGGCCGAAACUCGAGUUUUGUUUAGAAGUCGAUCAUCGAAAAAAUCUAAGAACUAAGAAAGUUUCAAAACAGACGAAGAGAAUUCAUGUUAUGAACGUGUCAUCCUUUUCAGAAGGUUAAUCGACCUUUUCAAGAAAGCCCUUUUUUCCGGACAGCCCAAGAAGAAACCUUCUCGUUUAAGAUUAAGAUAAUAUUGUCCAGAGAAUGUAGAUGAUAGUUUAACUUAUAUUGUUAGGCUCGAGGUUUCUCAAAAGACAAAAAAUGUAUGCAAAAAUAAAAUUUCAACCACCAAGCUCAGCUAGUAAAUGAUAAAUCAUCAAUUUAAAGUUUUUUAAUCAAUGUAAGUGAUGAUGAUUUACUUUUCUAAUCCCUGUGCGCAUAGGUACAAACCAAAAUCUGAACUUUGAUACUUAAAUCCUGUUUCGAAUUAAAUACGAAUCAAUAUCAAGUUAUACAAAAAGUCUAGCAAAAUCUAAAGUAAUAACGACUUGCAGUCGCAUCAGUAGCCGUACCUAUAUGUAUUUGUUGUAUGCCCGAAUACGUCUACUAUGUUACAUUCAUUUCGUAUAGUUUCUGUACAUCAAAUGAGGGCAAUAGC